rnacentral:misc_RNA from 1 species
UCUCCGUUGGUGAACCAGCGGAGGGAUCAUUACAGAGUUAUCUGCCUCCCAAACCCAUGUGAACUUACCAUUUGAUGCCUCGGCAGAGCCUACCCGGUAACUGUUCGGAGAAGCUACCCUGUAGCUACCCUGUAACGGCCUACCCUGUAACGCACUGCCGGUGGACUUUUAAACUCUUGUUAUUUUAUAGUAAUCUGAGCGUCUUAUUUUAAUAAGUCAAAGCUUUCAACAACGGAUCUCUUGGUGCUGGCAUCGAUGAAGAACGCAGC